GAGGAUGUAGCUCAAGUGGUAGAGCACAUGCUUAGAAUACAUAAGGUCCUGGGUUCAAUCCCCAGCACCUCCU
rnacentral:tRNA from 1 species